UACUAGCGGUCCAAGUUGCAGCCAUUUUUAUUGGGUCUAAAACAUCCGUAGCUUGUUUAAUAAGUUUCCUGUGAAAUCUUAUCUCUCAAGGAUAGGGCGGGCAGGAAGUACUGUUGAACUAGAGACUGGAAGGCGUGAGAAGUACGACCAAAGUAGCGGUAAAAUGCGUUAAUCUUGGCCGGACUCACAAUAGCGAAGGCAUCUCACGAGGACAGUUCUGACAGUAAGGGAUGAAGGCUAGGGGCGCAAAACGGAUUAGAUACCCUCGUA
rnacentral:rRNA from 1 species